ensembl:lncRNA
CAGUAAGGAGGCACAUACAAGUAGCGUGAAACUAUUCGAUGCAUGCUUCAUGAAAGGAAGCCAUCUUAACGAAUAAUAAGUGAGGUUCACAUUAAAACUGGUUGUAAACAAACGCAGACAUGUUGGACGUACCAAAACCGGAGUUUAUUGCUCUCAAGUACAACUUUUCAUCAAAAAAUCGUAAAGUGUUCUUGACUACAAAGGUUUCAUUUCCCCCGAGUUUCAAAGAUUUUUCAGCGAGUCAACAGAGUGCCCGAUUUGCGGGAAGUUCAUGUCCCACCUGAGGCAACACCUGACGGCACGUCAUAAAGUAGGAAACUUUGCGGAGAAAUGUCUGCUCAUGAACUGGUCCAGUGGACGAGGUAAACUGAGCUGCCGUGUUUGUGACAAGGUGGGCCUGUCCCGCCUGGACAAACACCUGGUGGACCUCCACCAACUUCCUCCAAAUGAGGUCGAAGAGCAGAUGCUACUGCAGCUUGUUGUGGUGAAGCUUGGGGAGCUGAGGCAACAAGGCCCACUUGCUCGAUGGUGUCUUGGUUGGAUCUACCCCGCUCAACCCCCAAGCGCUCUCCAUUGGCCCCUCCCCCACCUUCCCCAGGACCAGUUGCCACUGGAUUCCUGGCUUCCUCCCCAUCCACACCUGCCAUCCAUCCAGUCUACUCCUGCAUGUCAUGCAGUGCACUGGAGAAGAGAGUGGAAGGGUUGGAGCUAUUAGUAGGUAAUCUGCCACGGUGUCCCUGCAGCUUGAUAACAGCACAGGCCACCUCUUCAGCCACCCUUGCCAGCCCCAGCCCUGGAAACACACACAGCCAUGACACGGAGACCCCGGCCACACCAAGGUCACCCGUGUGCGCAGUGACACUGAGCACACAGCCCGAACCCGCCGUACCCUUUUCAAUGCAAUUGUUCUUGCAAGAGGACCUCCACAGUUUGUUCUAUGACCAAACCAUGUCACCCACAUCCACAGACGCAUGCAGUGUAUCACGUGAUACAACUGAUCCAAUUGGCUAACUUGUGUUCCAUUGUUGAUAUGUUCCAUUGUUUUGUUGAUAUGUUCCAUUGUUGUUAUGUUAAUAUGUUCUAUUAUUGAUAUGUUCCAAUGUUACAUUAUUAAUAAAUAAAUGUUUGAUUGUUGAC